rnacentral:rRNA from 10 species
GCUAGGUCAUACCACCCUGAAAACGCCUGAUCUCGGAAGCUAAACAGGGUCGGGCCUGCUUAGUACUUGGAUGGGAGACCGCCUGGGAAUACCAGGUGCUGUAAGUG